rnacentral:rRNA from 1 species
GCGGCGGACGGGUGAGUAACACGUAGGCAACCUGCCCUCAAGCUUGGGACAACUACCGGAAACGGUAGCUAAUACCGAAUACUUGUUUUCUUCGCCUGAAGGGAACUGGAAAGACGGAGCAAUCUGUCACUUGAGGAUGGGCCUGCGGCGCAUUAGCUAGUUGGUGAGGUAACGGCUCACCAAGGCGACGAUGCGUAGCCGACCUGAGAGGGUGAUCGGCCACACUGGGACUGAGACACGGCCCAGACUCCUACGGGAGGCAGCAGUAGGGAAUCUUCCGCAAUGGGCGAAAGCCUGACGGAGCAAUGCCGCGUGAGUGAUGAAGGUUUUCGGAUCGUAAAGCUCUGUUGCCAGGGAAGAACGCUUGGGAGAGUAACUGCUCUCAAGGUGACGGUACCUGAGAAGAAAGCCCCGGCUAACUACGUGCCAGCAGCCGCGGUAAUACGUAGGGGGCAAGCGUUGUCCGGAAUUAUU